rnacentral:lncRNA from 1 species
GCCCCCCAGCCCGCCAAGCCCCGCCCCCCUCCCUCCCCGUUGCCAGGGCCACGGCGGUUGCCGCGCGACGUAAACAAAGGACGCCGGACGUGGUGACGUCAGGGGCAUGGAACGCCGUCGCCAUGGCGACACGCGCAGUGUUUACUCCGGCGGCGGCGGCAGCACGUGGGGCCGGGCCGGGGCACCGGCACCGGGACAGCCCGGGGGGGACCGGGCCUACGGGCACCGGGACAGCCUGGGGGGGCCGGGACAACCGGGACCGGGAUAGCGGCACCGGGACCGGGACAGCCUGGGGGAGCCAGGCCCACCGGGACAUCCCGGGGGGACCAGGACAACCAGGACCGGGAUACUGGCACCGGGACUGGGACAGCCCGGGGGAACCGGGACAACCAGGACCGGGAUGGCCCCGGGGGGGACAAGGCCUGCAGGCACUGGCACCGGGACAGCCUGGGGGGACCGGGCUUACCGGGACAACCAGGACUGGGAUAAUUGGGACAGGCUGGGGGGACCGGGACAGCAGGCACCGGGGCAGGGACAGCCCGGGGGGACCGGGACAGCAGGCACUGGGACCAGGAAAGUCCGGGACAAUUGGACCUGCAGGCACCGGGACCGGGACAGCCCGGGACAACCGGGACAGCCUGGGACAAGCAGCCCUGCAGGCACCGGGACCGGGUGCACCGGGGGCCAGGAGGGCUGGGGACAAGGUGACCAGGGCCACCAGGACCGUGCAGAGGGGGCCACCGGCUCUGCAGGCACCAGGAUGGAGUCACCGGGGCCAGGACAGCCGGGGACAACCGGGCCUGAAGGCACCGGGACAGGGAGCACCCGGUACCGGGAGCACCGGGGAGCCCCAGCACCGGGGACGGCCGGAGACAGGAGCAGUGGGGCUGGGGGCACCCCGGGGGCAGGGAGUGAAUGAAUGAAUGAAUGAAUGAAUGAAUGAAUGAACGAACGAAUGAACGAAUGAAUGAAUGGGAACGCGUGGGAACGGCCCCGCGGGCCGGCCGGGCGCGGUGGCCCCGCCGUGACUCAGCGCCGGGCGCGGGCUCCCACGGGUGACAUCAGAGCCCCCGGCCGUGCCCCGGCCGUGCCACCCGGGGCCGAGCCAUCGGUCGGGAGCCCGGGGGUGGUCCCCGAGCCCGGGAUGGGCACGGCGGGGGCGGCAGCCGGUUAAUCCCCGGGAGAUCCUGCCCCGGGAGGGGGGAUGCAUCCCGUGUCCCUGUCAUCCUCCGGGACCUGCCUCCCCCUUCCCGGCUCCCCGGGACCAUCCCCCGAGAGUCUGGCCCCCGACACCCCCAUACUGGGAACCUCCGGUGCCCCCCGCCCCAAAAACCCCGGGGGCUUUGCAGCCCGGUCCCGGUUGCACCCUGUCGGGGGCUCUCCCUGUUGUCCCGGUACCGAGACCACCCGGUGGUCUGCAGCCAGGUCCCGGUAACACCUCGGGGGGGGCAAAUAGAGUUGCCGCGGUACCGGGACCAGCCCCCCCCCGCCCCCCCGGUGACUCACCGCCGGGUCUCGGUAUCACUUACAGGGGGUUCCCGGUGUCCCGGUCCCGGCACGUCCCGGUGCUCUGCAGCCCGGUCCCG